UGCUGAUGUCAUUUGCAUUCGGCCAGUUCCUGCAGAGCCCAGUGACAUUUACACUUGGUGGCCUGGCAUAUCAUAUUAUAAGGAUCAAUCUUACCAGGGAGAACCAGGAUUCCUAAGCUUUUGUCUAUUCUGUCCCAGAUCUCACUACUUGUCCAAUCCACUCUGAUGUUGCGGUGUUAGGUACAUACGUAGUCGGAACCGAAACCAGAUGGAUCCUGAAGAGCAACCAGAUCACUGGAAGCUUCAACAGGCAGCGACAGCUGCUUUGUCAGACAUGGUAUCUGUGCCUGGAACAGAAGACCAGUACCGAUAUGGUUUUGUGGACUCCAGAGGCACCACAUUCAUCAUCUAGCAAUACCGUGGAACACUUCCACAGGGAAGGCUGACAUCUUUGAGUGAGGCCUGCAGUAGGAAUGGACUCCGCAAACACUUGCCACUUCUGUCCUGUGAUCUACAGGCCCUAAGGGCGAUCUUCUCAGUGUCAUCAAUGACUUUAUCCCAGCCCUUGCCCUUCUUUGAGCAUGAGCAUGUCAAAUAAAUACAUAAAAUCUUUGAAAAAAAAUUUUUUUUAAAACCGUAACAUGAGUUCCACAACAGUUGAUACCAAAUAAUUGGUAUAAUCAUUCAGCAUUAGGGCAUCAUAUUGAAGCUACAAAAAUAUCCUCCUACAAAACCACAGAGGCGUAACAAGAACUGUAAGGUAUUUGGGCUUUACGGGUCUUUCUGCGGGAGCUUCCACUUCAUCAAGGAAUCCAUUUUCUCAUCAAAAUCAGCCAAAUCCUACUCCCUGCAGAGCUCUGGGACUGCUGUCCUCCUCCAGAUGGAAUUUCUAACUCCAAAACGAUGGAACUAUUGUGAAGAGUGCAUACAUUUUUCACCCUAAAGUAAUGUAACAUUAUGUGUCAAUUCAAUUUCAAUUAAAAAAAAAAAAGUACAUACAUCUUUGUAUCCAGAUGAUCUGAAAAAGCAACAAAGUAUCAGUGUUAAGGAACAAGAUAAAGUAACAAAAUUUCAUGGACCAAGUCUGUCACAAAAUUAAAAUACAUAAUACAUUUGCUUCUGUUUGAGAAAACAAAAAUGCUUAGAUAAGGCAUCUGGACUUAAAGGUUCCUUCCUGCAUGUGAGCCAGUGUUUUAACAUUCAGCACAGUAGCAGGAAAUGGUGGGUGGAAGGAACGUUUGAAAAAGGAAGCAUCAGAAGAUUAUAGAGCUGGAUAUCUAUGGUUUUUUAGAGCAGAUAUCCUUCCGUGUUUCUUUCCAGAAACCUCUGCAGCUGGCCCGUAAUUGGGUUGAAUGCCCUUGCUGUUGACCAAAGGGAAGGGAAGUGAGAACCCAAAGAAGAGCCCAGCAGAUUGAAAAUACACCACCAACAGUGGUGGGUCCAUCCUGGCCACAGUGCCAAUUGGAGGACAGUGACCAAUAACCAUGUCUCUGAGACAGUCGAGAUGCUUAGCUUAAUCAAAGAAUGGAUAGAAGAUGUGUUCCUGUGACCACAGUUGCUCUGAAAAGCAGUUAGAAGUCUUCCAGAACCACAUAAAACUACAUGACUGCCUUGGACAAGGUGAUAAGCAAAAAAAGAUAUCACUGAGCAAUAACAAGGAAAAUAGUAGAACCAGGAAAUUCUGACUAGCAAAGCCCAUGAGCUAGCAUAGAAAGAAAAACAAAAAAACUACAAGACUGAUCUGGAGGGAAUGCUCAAGGUUGCUCAGUUGUAAAGUGCAACCAACCAAAGGAGAAUGUGUGAUUGGCAUCUAGAUGAGUGGCCUGUUUCUUAAUCCAUGGUAUAAACCAAUAAAAGAAUAUCGAUUACAAA